rnacentral:rRNA from 1 species
GGAUGAACGCUGGCGGCGUGCUUAACACAUGCAAGUCGAACGAUGAAGCCCAGCUUGCUGGGUGGAUUAGUGGCGAACGGGUGAGUAACACGUGAGUAACCUGCCCUUAACUCUGGGAUAAGCCUGGGAAACUGGGUCUAAUACCGGAUAGGAGCGUCCACCGCAUGGUGGGUGUUGGAAAGAUUUAUCGGUUUUGGAUGGACUCGCGGCCUAUCAGCUUGUUGGUGAGGUAAUGGCUCACCAAGGCGACGACGGGUAGCCGGCCUGAGAGGGUGACCGGCCACACUGGGACUGAGACACGGCCCAGACUCCUACGGGAGGCAGCAGUGGGGAAUAUUGCACAAUGGGCGAAAGCCUGAUGCAGCGACGCCGCGUGAGGGAUGACGGCCUUCGGGUUGUAAACCUCUUUCAGUAGGGAAGAAGCGAAAGUGACGGUACCUGCAGAAGAAGCACCGGCUAACUACGUGCCAGCAGCCGCGGUAAUACGUAGGGUGCGAGCGUUAUCCGGAAUUAUUGGGCGUAAAGAGCUCGUAGGCGGUUUGUCGCGUCUGUCGUGAAAGUCCGGGGCUUAACCCCGGAUCUGCGGUGGGUACGGGCAGACUAGAGUGCAGUAGGGGAGACUGGAAUUCCUGGUGUAGCGGUGGAAUGCGCAGAUAUCAGGAGGAACACCGAUGGCGAAGGCAGGUCUCUGGGCUGUAACUGACGCUGAGGAGCGAAAGCAUGGGGAGCGAACAGGAUUAGAUACCCUGGUAGUCCAUGCCGUAAACGUUGGGCACUAGGUGUGGGGACCAUUCCACGGUUUCCGCGCCGCAGCUAACGCAUUAAGUGCCCCG